AUGAUGGUUUUUGUGGUAGUUUUCAGUUUGAACUCGCAUUCAGUGGCCUCAUAUCUUUGGUGCAGCUUGGAGCUGGUAGUGUGCACGUCUGUUUCUUUCAACUGUCCUGAAUCAUCUUACUUGGUUUCUGUUGUGCCACCUUACUGGUUACGGUAUCUUCUUCAACUUGCAUGUGGUUUGGAUGGAAUGAUCUCAUCUUUUGCUCGAAUCAAGAAAAUGCUAGAAGUCUCAAACCAGGGUCCAGAAUGGAAAUAUCAGUUCGUACUCGGUUUGUAUAGCAGAUUAUCAAAGUUUGAUUUGGCUAUUAAUUACCUGGUUACCAUACUAUUCUACAUACUCUUGUUCAUGAUUGCACGUGGUUUGUUUAUAUACGUUAUUUAG
rnacentral:rRNA from 1 species